AGCGAACGCUGGCGGCAGGCCUAACACAUGCAAGUCGAACGAACCUUUCGGGGUUAGUGGCGGACGGGUGAGUAACACGUGGGAACGUGCCUUUAGGUUCGGAAUAACUCAGGGAAACUUGUGCUAAUACCGAAUGUGCCCUUCGGGGAAAAGAUUAAUCGCCUUUAGAGCGGCCCGCGUCUGAUUAGCUAGUUGGUUGAGGUAAUGGCUCACCAAGGCGACGAUCAGUAGCUGGUCUGAGAGGAUGAUCAGCCACAUUGGGACUGAGACACGGCCCAAACUCCUACGGGAGGCAGCAGUGGGGAAUCUUGCGCAAUGGGCGAAAGCCUGACGCAGCCAUGCCGCGUGAAUGAUGAAGGUCUUAGGAUUGUAAAAUUCUUUCACCGGGGACGAUAAUGACGGUACCCGGAGAAGAAGCCCCGGCUAACUUCGUG
rnacentral:rRNA from 1 species